rnacentral:misc_RNA from 1 species
GAUGAAGAACGUAGCGAAAUGCGAUACGUAAUGUGAAUUGCAAAUUCAGUGAAUCAUCGAGUCUUUGAACGCACAUUGCGCCCCCUGGUAUUCCGGGGGGCAUGCCUGUCCGAGCGUCAUUGCUGCCCUCAAGCACGGCUUGUGUGUUGGGCCCCGUCCUCCGAUCCCGGGGGACGGGCCCGAAAGGCAGCGGCGGCACCGCGUCCGGUCCUCGAGCGUAUGGGGCUUUGUCACCCGCUCUGUAGGCCCGGCCGGCGCUUGCCGAUCAACCCAAAUUUAUAUCCAGGUUGACCUCGGAUCAGGUAGGGAUACCCGCUGAACUUAAGCAUAUCAAUAAGCGGAGGA